GACGGAGGAUGCAAGUGUUAUCCGGAAUCACUGGGCGUAAAGCGUCUGUAGGUGGUUUAGCAAGUCUGCUGUUAAAGCUUGAAGCUUAACUUCAAAAAUGCAGUGGAAACUUCUAGACUCGAGUGUGGUAGGGGUAGAGGGAAUUUCCAGUGGAGCGGUGAAAUGCGUAGAUAUUGGAAAGACCACCAAUGGCGAAGGCACUCUACUGGGCCAUAACUGACACUGAGAGACGAAAGCUAGGGGAGCAAAUGGG
rnacentral:rRNA from 1 species